rnacentral:rRNA from 1 species
GGUGGCGUGCUUAACACAUGCAAGUCGAACGAGAAAGUUUCCUUCGGGAAAUUAGUAAAGUGGCGCAAGGGUGAGUAUCACGUGAAUAAUCUGCCCUCGAGAUCGGGAUAACAUGGUGAAAACUAUGCUAAUACCGGAUAAGACCACAUUUCAUAAGAAAUGCGGUAAAAGGAGUCUCAAUCUUCACUCGAGGAUGAGUUCGCGCAACAUUAGCUUGUUGGUGAGAUAAAAGCUCACCAAGGCUACGAUGUUUAGCCGGCCUGAGAGGGUGAACGGCCACACUGGAACUGAGACACGGUCCAGACUCCUACGGGAGGCAGCAGUGGGGAAUAUUGCGCAAUGGGCGAAAGCCUGACGCAGCAACGCCGUGUGAGCGAUGAAGGCUUUAGGGUCGUAAAGCUCUGUCAAAUGGGAAGAAUUUUGACGGUACCAUUAGAGGAAGCCCCGGCUAACUCCGUGCCAGCAGCCGCGGUAAUACGGAGGGGGCAAGCGUUGUUCGGAAUUAUUGGGCGUAAAGCGUAUGUAGGCGGCUAGAUAAGUCAGGCGUGCAAGCCCGUGGCUCAACCACGGAAUUGCGUUUGAGACUGUUUAGCUUGAGUACAGGAGAGGAAAGCGGAAUUCCCAGUGUAGCGGUGAAAUGCAUUGAUAUUGGGAAGAACAUCUGUGGCGAAGGCGGCUUUCUGGUCUGUUACUGACGCUGAGAUACGAAAGCCAGGGUAGCGAACGGGAUUAGAUACCCCGGUAGUCCUGGCUGUAAACGAUGGGCACUAGGUGCAGGAGGUUUCGAUCCCCUCUGUGCCGUAGCUAACGCGUUAAGUGCCCCGCCUGGGGAGUACGGUCGCAAGCUA